GAUGAACGCUGGCGGCGUGCCUAAUACAUGCAAGUCGAGCGAACAGACGAGGAGCUUGCUCCUCUGACGUUAGCGGCGGACGGGUGAGUAACACGUGGAUAACCUACCUAUAAGACUGGGAUAACUUCGGGAAACCGGAGCUAAUACCGGAUAAUAUAUUGAACCGCAUGGUUCAAUAGUGAAAGACGGUUUUGCUGUCACUUAUAGAUGGAUCCGCGCCGCAUUAGCUAGUUGGUAAGGUAACGGCUUACCAAGGCAACGAUGCGUAGCCGACCUGAGAGGGUGAUCAGCCACACUGGAACUGAGACACGGUCCAGACUCCUACGGAAGGCAGCAGUAGGGAAUCUUCCGCAAUGGGCGAAAGCCUGACGGAGCAACGCCGCGUGAGUGAUGAAGGUCUUCGGAUCGUAAAACUCUGUUAUUAGGGAAGAACAAAUGUGUAAGUAACUAUGCACGUCUUGACGGUACCUAAUCAGAAAGCCACGGCUAACUACGUG
rnacentral:rRNA from 1 species